GGUCCUAUUCUCAGUUCAGUGGUUUGCUGCUGGCAUUCGCCUCUGUAUUUGCUGUAUUCUGGCUGUGUCUCUCAGGAGCGAUCUACAUCCGGCUCCUGUCGGUCUGCACUUCUUUGCUUCAUCCAUCUUGUCUAAUUGGGUGGCUGUAUAUGUAUGGGCCACAUGUGGGGCAGGCUCUGAAUGGGAGUUCCUUCAGUCUCUGUUUUAAUCUUUGCCUCUCUCUUUCCUGCCAAGGGUAUUCUUGUUCCCCUUUUAGAGAAGGAGUGAAGCAUUCACAUUUUGAUCAUCCAUCUUGAGUUUCAUUUGUUCUAGGCAUCUAGGGUAAUUUUGUAACACCGAGUUUUUUGAGAUAGGGCAUGAGGUUUAACUGUGGCCAAAUUUAAAGCAGUAUUGUCUUCUGCAGCAUGCAUGAGAUCAGCAAUACUCAGUUGUGCUUUCUCUGUCUGCUUUUUACCUUCUGGAUGACCAGGGAGAAAUGGCUCAGAUUUUUUUUUUUUUUGCUGCAGGACAUCAAGCUGGUAGGCUCUGGAUUUCAUUUCCCAAACACAAGCAAUCACUUGUAUGUCUCUCCUGGAUUUGCACUUAUUAGUCCAAUGGUGCCCUUUGCCACGGUGCCUACAAAUCCUAGGAAGCCUAGGAGUCCUUUCAGAGAACCUAUUGCCACCAAAAACUGCAUGUUCCCUUCUCCCUGAAAGUACUGUGUCUUUUAGUUACAGAAUGAACAUUUUGAGCUCUGAGGCUUUUAGCCUCAAAAUUUCCUUGUAAAUGGCCGAAUUCACUGCAGUUAAACCUUGGGUAUUUUGAUAUCCUGACACUCUAGUGUAGCUUGUCCUAUGAUAUUGGCGUGAUGCUCAUGAAAGCCAAUAUUCAUUUCUGUUAGGCACUCAUCCAUUGGUACUGCUUGUGACUAACAGGCUAAUGACUCCUUUGUAUUCAGUAUUUGAAUUCUCAAAAGCCAAGGUCUCUAUCAAUACCUGUCUCACAUCAGGGUAUAAUGUGACAUUCUUUACAGCUGAAACCAGUCUUUAUAAGAAAUUUGUGAAGGCUUCCCUCAGAGCCUUGUAUAAUCUUAGUGAAUGUAGUAGGUCUCUACCUGGGCUCCUCGACUUUGUCCCAAGCUCUUAAAGUCACCAAGUGACAAUGUUCUAUAAUAGCAUCAUCAAAUCGAAUUUGUUCUUGUAAAUCAGAAUACUACCCUUCACCAAGCAAUUGAUCGUUAGCAAUAUUCCUUCUUCUUGCUCUAUUUCAUUGUUCAGUAUUCACUCCUUCAUGCUCACCAUUGUAACUGUUGACUGGCCUCUAGCACAGCUGUUUGUUACCAAACAUUUUGAGUCUUAGGGAAAUAACUCUAUUUGGGGUAGGCAAGUUACUCAACACUUGUUUAACAUGAGGGGAAUGCAUUCUUUAGGAAAUAACAGCAUCUUUAAAAAGCCUAAAAAUCAUUUCUAUAGAAUACCACAUUAUUUCAUCAUAAUCAUGAUCAGAACCAUUAACACAAUUACUGAGGACUGAUGGUGACUUCAUCAUUCCAGGCCACUCCUCUGGUGUGCACUUGGCUCAAAUUAACACUUUCUCUCCAAAUAGACUUUUUAACUCUAUCAUCCUGCAUGGGCUUGUUUCUCUAGGUCCCUUUCUAGGUCACUUCCCUACUCAGGGACUGGAGGAACUUGAAACGUAAAGUGCCCAGCACAGGGUGGGACAGCAAUCUUCCUUCUAGUGAAGUCUGCUUCCCUCUUUCAUUCUGCCGGAAGUUCACGCUCACAGUCACCAGCUCUUAACCUUUUUGUUCCAUUUUUCUGGUGCUACUCACUUCUCAAGUGCCCUUGUCUUAUGUAGAAUUAAGGAUUGAGAAUAAGGAUGAGAAUAGUCACUCCUGAGGACAUGGCCAUCGGAUAUGCAGAGGCAGCUCAGGGCUGGGCCUCAUAGGAGGAAGCUGAUGAUGGCAGAGCAUUGGCAGGUGCAUAUGCUGGAUGUUAACAGCCAGGGAGUGGCCAUGCAGGUUCUGAGUGCCUGUGAGACAUUAAUAAACAGGUGGGGGUAUAGCUCAGGGGUAGAGCAUUUGACUGCAGAUCAAGAGGUCCCUGGUUCAAAUCCAGGUGCCCCCUACCACACAUUUGUUUUUUACUCAUGGAGAUAUCACACACACACACACACUGAGUCUUAUGUUUCUUCCAUUCAUUCCAGUCAUGGACCUCACAAGACCUGGGAGCUACAGUCCAGCCUGUCAUGUGGAUAGAUGGCUGCCUCCCAUCUCUUCCUACAUGCUGACUGUCCCUCCCAUUCUUUAUAUCUGUCUCCCCUGUUCUUGCAUAUACCUAGUUUCUCUGGUUCUGUUGAUUUGUGCAUAUGCAGAUGUGAUGUUUAAUAGAAGACAAGAACUGUAAGGGACAAUUAGGGACUUUCUAGGCACAGCAGUUAUAUUGACAGCCAGUGUUCAGGGACCAAUAAGGAAGUCUAACCAUAAAAGUAUGUGCCUCUGGGGCUAUCUGGUGAAUCUGUAGUCAGAGCUAAGGAGGCAAAUCAUAGAAUUGUGCUGUCUGUGUAGGGUGGACAUUUCCCAUGUGAGCUUCUCUCCCCCUUCCAGAGCUCACUGCUCUCUUGCUUCACCCUCAGAGGCUAAAGACUGCCUGAGCUCCUGUCCCAGGCAAAGAGGGAUCCUGCAGUGUUUCUGCUGACAGUGCCAGCUAGGGCCCUGUGAGAACUCUGAGUGACAGAUCAUCUGUCUUCAGAUAAAGAAGAUCCGGGUGUUUGGGGGUCCAGGCAGUUGACUAGCUCUAGAGCUAACCCAGGAGAGCAGUGUGAAGUGGGCUCAGGGUCUGCAGGCUGCUCCUCUCCAUUUCCUUGGCUGAUGAUGCUAUUCAAGGAUGGACCUGGAAAGCUGCAGAGCUCAGAAAGGCAUCUCACCUGUCAGGUUGGACAGCUUCUGGGAUAUAGGUCUGUGUGCGUCUGUAAUUUAACUUUAUAGUCAGUCCUAAUAGAUCACCACUCAGAUGACAAUUAUUAACUGUGUACACUGAUACCAGUGGGGGUAUAGCUCAGGGGUAGAGCAUUUGACUGCAGAUCAAGAGGUCCCUGGUUCAAAUCCAGGUGCCCCCUUUUCAUGUGAUUUUGGAAACUGUCCACAUUUGUAGUAUAGAAGCACUUUCUCUCUUUGGCUCAUGGCUGGAGAUUCAACCCGUGGAUGCUACAGCUGUGUUCUUACCCAUCAGAUCCUUCACGUGACAGGUGGCUCUAGGUGUUCAUUGAAUCUCAAAUCUUUCAUGUGAGUCUUCAGCAUUUUUAGAAUGUAUAGUGAGUUUUUUAAACCUGUAAAAGCUAGGUUUUACUAGAGAAACCAUGAGCGUUUCUCAGCAUAUGGGAUUCAAGAACCGAAUGCAGUGGGCAUCAGCAAAGGACCCUCAAGAAAACUGAGUAAGGGAUACUGGGCUGGAAACACACUAGAGUGGGAGAUGUUCAGUUGGUUCAUCAGAGCUGGGAAUGUGGGAAUCCUGGCUCUCAGAGGGGAGGGGCACAUAAAAUCAUGUGGAUCUCAUAGAUCAUGGGGUUUCUAAGAUGCUCAUGGGCCUGGUGUGUAUCCAUUGCUUGGGUCAUUGCUGAUAUCUGUCCUAGUGGCUCAGCAUAUGUGCUCUGUCAGCCAUGUGUCCCUAUUUUAAGUGUUAUCUCUUGGAAUAAAGUUCCCAACCAAGUUCCUGACUUUCUUGUGACAGCUGUUGCCACAGCUCAGUGUGAAAGGCCAAGCAGAGCCUGACCAUGCUGGGUUUGUGCUUCACACCAUGGACAGCUCCUCUGUCUGCCCUUUUUAGGAAAAGGGAGAGAGCAGCAAUACCCUCCCUCUCCCCACUGCCUGAUGGCCUCUGCUUUUCUAGUACAGUGACAGUGUACAAAGUGACAGAGAUUCCAUAAAGCCACACACAGAGUCAAAUCAGCACCAUACUGGGAUCAGUGUCCCUGUCCCUUGUGUGCAUUGUCAUGUCAGUGACCAACUCCACUGGGAUUUUUGAGGAUGUUGACACCUCCCCAGACUUGAAAGAGAAAUCUCAUGUGGACCUUUAUUGGCAUAUUUUCCUAUAACAAGUGAUGGAGCCUUGGAAGAUCCUCUGCUGGAUCUAAGGAUCUUUUCAAAUAUUCAUCUGAAACCCUGUGGUGGGUUUAUAGUUAGUACUCACCAAACAUCAUCUCUAUGCUUUAUGUUUCUAAUAACAUGAUGGUGUUUUCCUAAAAGUAGCUCAUUUGGACAUGCACACGUACACACACAUGCACAUGCACAUGUGCAUGCACACCCUCACACAAGAUUUCUCUCAACACUGGAAACUAAGCCUGUGCUGACUCUAUGGUGAAUUUAGCAAUGGUAACUUUGUGCUCUGUGUCUUCAAUCCUUGUGUGAAUCCCAUGUUAUUGUUUACAUAUCUUUAAGAAUUCACCAGUGACACUUCUUAGUUUGUCUUUGUAUAAUGGUUUAGUUACCUUGCAUAAGUCUUGUUCUAUGAGUAAAAUAUACAGCAGAAGUAUAUUUACUAGAUAAAAUCUAAAUGAAUAGUUUCCCAAGAAGAAGCAUUCUGUGAUUUUCCUUAUCAUCUUAUGCAAAUCACAAAAGUUGAACUAAGACCUCUCUGAAUCCUCUCCUUGUUCUCUGUCCCCACAGACUACAUUCUUUGGCUAUGGUGUUCUCUUACAUCUUUGACAUCUCUGUGGUCCUUUGCCUCAUUGUGAUGGCUUCUAGGAGAAAGGUCCACAAGUAGAGAUUCCUGGUCCCACUUAGGUAGAUCCAGCAUUCCAGCAAUCCUGCAACCCAGCAACCCAGCAACCCAGCAACCAAGCAAUCUUGCAACCCAGCAACCCAGCAGUCCUGCAACCCAGCAACCCAGCAAAACCAUUAGCAAAAGCACCAGCACGAACCAGAAACAGCAGGGGAAACAACAGCUGCCACAGGCCCUCUCUGAACUUUUAUAUUUAUAGACUCUCAAGAGUUUACAGAAUUCCAAACAUAAACUAUGUGCACUGAUGAAAAUCAUUCAGCUCUUAGAUCUCAAGAAUUAUGGUUAAUGGCUGUUGACAAUCUGAAGCAGACCAAUAUACCACAUCUGGAAUUAAAACAAAAAUAUAUUCAUUAACCUAACUGGUUUUUUUAGUGAAACCAAAGUUCUCCCUACACUGAGCAGCUAAGUCUGCAGUGUUCUGGACAUGGAGGGAUUCUGAGUGUCCUGUGGUAGGUCUAUUGGGGAGGACAUGGUGAAUCCAAGCCUGAUAGAGUCUGGUCUGAAGGAGGUGGGUCAGGUCCUCUAGCCACUGCAGAUGUCACCAUGUGUUCUACAUCCUCGGGUGAGGCAGUGCAGGUGACCUGUGCCAAUGGGGAGUCUACAAAGUCCUAGAAAGAGCAACACAGGACAUUAAUCUCAAUCACGCCCUGCUCCAGGACUGUCACCUGCUGAUCACCUUAUCAGCCACUGUCCUGCAUCAUGCUUCACUCACUAUGGUCUCCAGAUGUCUUUCAUCAUGUCUGCAGUCUCUCCAUUAUGUGGUUAUUAAUCAGGAGUGUUUUCUUUGUCCCUCCUACCGAAUCUGACCAAGGAGUUCUCAGCAGCCAAAUAUUCCAUUCUAUCCACUCCUGCCUCCCACUCAUCCCCAAAGGCCAGCCAAGUAGCCAUUGUGUCACAUGUGGAUGUUAGUUGAGUUGAAGGUUGAAGCAGCUUCAACUGAAGCCUCCUGCCUCUCAGCUAGGACUUCAGUAGGAGAAUGGUAGUCACUCCUGAGGACAUGGCCAUCAGAUGUGCAGAGGCAGCUCAAGGCUGGGCCUCAUAGGAGGAAGCAGAUGAUGACAGAGCACUGGCAGGUGCACAUGCCAGAUGUUAACAACCAUGGAGUGGCCAUGCAGGUUCUGAGUGCCUAUGAGACAUUAAUAAACAGGUGGGGGUAUAGCUCAGGGGUAGAGCAUUUGACUGCAGAUCAAGAGGUCCCUGGUUCAAAUCCAGGUGCCCCCUACCACACAUUUGUUUUUUACUCAUGGAGAUAUCACACACACACACACACACACACACACACACACACACACACACACACACACACACACUGAGUCUUAUGUUUCUUCCAUUCAUUCCAGUCAUGGACCUCACCAGACCUGGGAGCUACCGUCCAACCUGUCAUGUGGAUAGAUGGCUGUCUCCCAUCUCUUCCUACAUGCUGACUGUCCCUCCCAUUCUUGUUAUCUGUCUCCCCUGUCCCUGCAUAUAUCUACUUUCUCAGUACUUAUAGUGACAGCCAGUAUCCAGGGACCAAUAAGGAAGCCUAACCAUAAAAGUAUGUGCCUCUGGGGCUAUCUGGUGAAUCUGUAGUCAGAGCUAAGGAGGCAAGUCACAGAAUCUGGCUGUCUGUGUAGGGUAGACAUUUUUCCCAUGAGCUUCUCUCCCACUUCCAGAGACCUCCACUUCCUGCUUCACCCUCAGAGGCUAAAGACUGCCUGAGCUCCUGUCCCAGGCAAAGAGGGAUCCUGCAGUAUUGCUGCUGAUAGUGCCAGCUAGGACCCUGUGAGAACCCAUCUGUCUUCAGAUAAAGAAGAUCUGGGUGUUUGGGGGCUCAGGCAGUUGGCCAGCUCAGGAGCUAACCCAGGACGGCAGUGUGAAGUGCGCUUAUGGUCUGCAGGCAGCUCCUUUCUCUCCUUUCUCAAGGAUGGGCCUGGAAAGCUGCAAAGCUGAGGAAGGCAUCUCACCUGUCAGGUUGGGCAGCUUCUGGGAUAUAGGUCUGUGAGCAUCUGUAAUUUCACUUUGUAGUCCGUCCUAGUGUAUCACCACUGAGAUGCAAAUUAUUAACUGUGUACACUGGUACCAGUGGGGGUAUAGCUCAGGGGUAGAGCAUUUGACUGCAGAUCAAGAGGUCCCUGGUUCGGGGCUGGGGAUUUAGCUCAGUGGUAGAGCGCUUACCUAGGAAGCGCAAGGCCCUGGGUUCGGUCCCCAGCUCCGAAAAAAAGAACCAAAAAAAAAAAAAAAAAAAAAAAAAAAGAGGUCCCUGGUUCAAAUCCAGGUGCCCCCUUCCCAGGUUUUCUUUUAGAUGUUAGAUGGUAAAAUGCCUUCAGGAGCCCAAAACUCCCAAAUAAGAUCUUUAUUACCUCAUUGUUCCUUGUCCUGGAUGGUGUCCCAUUAUGCACUGAUCUGUGUUCACCUGUGCAGUAGAUUCACUCAAGUCCCUCUACCCACUGCUCUCUGAAGCCUACCCAGGUCACAGUCACUUGUGCAUUGAUUGUCCUCUAAGUCUGUGACCCUGUGGGUUACUCAUCACUGGAAAUUAAGCUUAGAGGCUUGGAACAGAACUACCUCCUGGAAGCCUUUGUCUUUCAUCUCUCAAGAAGCCUCUCUUGGGCUCCUAGUAUCCUCCUCACUCCCAGCUAUUCCCAACCUGUACUUCAGCUCCCGCCACUACUAUGAAACAUGUUUGAUUCAUGAAUUUGUUUCCUAUUUAUACUAGGAUGUGAACAAAAAGGGAAAUGAUUGAUCUCUCUUUGUGUACUCGAUGUGGUUGAUCAGUGACCAGAAGCUAAUGAGCUCUGUACAUGUUAUUGAGUGAAUUAAUGAUUGAGGGAAGUAAUGCAUACCCUCCUGAUGUCCUGGAGGAAAAGCUUCUCUCUGUGCUGCAGGUUGGGCCUAUGAAGGUCCAGAACCCACAGCUUUUGUCUUGUCCACUUAGUGUGAACUUAAGGAAAACACAUGGACAAGUGUCUUUUCUACUUCCAGAGAGGGAGAGAGAGAGCGCGCGCGCAUUGAGGUGGGCUAGCUAUGGUUGGAAAGAAGAAGCGUGGAGGACAAACCAAAUGGAAAAAUCCUGCCAGGUUCAAGAUCAGUAGCAGAAGCCAUAGAUCAUGGACAUAUAACAGUUUGAGUGUGGCUCCAAGGUUGAAGUGUUGAUCAGAGACUACCUUACCUUUAAAGUGGGGGUAUAGGCAGGGGCAGAGCAUUUAACUAUAGAUCAAGAAUCCCUGGUUCACGUCCAGGUGCCCCAUUGCUUAAACAUGACUCUGGUAGUUAACUUACCAUAUUUCCCUUAGGUGGGGCCUUGGUGGACUAGUUAGAAUUAGCCAUAUAAACUCAGAUCUUCUAUUCUGGGCUACAUAGCUUAGGGUGUUUGUACCUGUCUUAGUUAGGGCUUUGCUGCUGUGAACAGACACUAUGACCAAGGCAAGUCUUACAAUGGACAUCAUUUAACUGGGGCUAGCUUACAUUUCGGAGGUUCAGUCCAUUAUCAUCAAUGUGGGAGCAUGGCGGUGUCCUGGCAGACAUGGGGCUUGAGGAGCUAAGAGUUCUACAUCUUGCUCUGAAAGCAGCUAGAAGACUAGCUUCUAGGCAACUAGGACUAGGGUCUUAAGGACCAUACCCACAGUGACACACCUACUCCAGCAGAGCCACACCUCCUAACAGUGCUAGUGCUUGGGCCAGGAAUAUUCAAACACUCACAGUGCCUUAGCUCCACAACCCACUACUGUCACCCAAGCUCUCAAAGGCUUCCAACUCCUCACGUUAGUACAUCAGGUGCUCAGUGUACAGUGCCUUCCACACGUGAGUUCACUUCCCACUCCACUCCUCAACUCUGCCCUGUGUUCAUUAUCACAGAGGAAUCAUGGUUGGUCUGCUUUUAUUGGUCACCAAGAGAUGAGGUAUAUUCUGAAUUCUCGAUUUCUGUCUGGGAGGCUCUUUGGUGGGAAAGGCUGAGGCUAUGAAGUUAAUAACGAGCUCUGGACUGGGUUCUCCUACAUCCUUAGUGUGACUGCCUGUGGAAGGGCAGGCCAGCCAGACUGAAGCCAACCUACAGGACCAGGACUAGGGUACCCCCAAAGCCAACUUGGCACUAUGGGCUCCCACAUCAGUCAAGAGCCAUGGCAGGAACCUAUAUUUGUUCCAGAAGGUUUGUGAUCUCCAACACCCUUCCCACUUUUCUGGGGGCAUUGAACUACACUUUAAUGAAGCAAUUUCAGACUGGGUGGUGAGUGUGAAGAUUUGAACCAGAAAAUUCUCAGUCUGCAUCUGAUGCUUAGAUUCAAGCUCUUACCUACCUGACAGCCAAUAAAUAAAUAGGGUUUUUUAAAAUUAGUUUAUUUUCAAUGCAAAAAAACCCCCACACUGUAACAUCACCUUCCCAAGUAAGGAGGUAAGCUGAUGUGUUGUGUGCAGCCUCCCUCAUGGACAGGACGCCAGUCUCGGCUCCUGUUGCACACUUCUCUCCACCCUCUGCCUGGUAUCCUUAGAUACUGAAGCCCUGCCACCUCCCUCUUUCAUCUCUCCGAGUGUAACAGGAAAUGACCCUGGAGAGCUGUGGAAUUAUAAACACUGUGCACUCGGCCCCUCAGUUAAUGUCACGUGUCUGAGGCAGGGAGCUGGACUAAGCAAAUCUGGUCACAACACUCCAUCCUUCUCCCAUCAUAGAGACCUGUGGUCCAGAGAGUGAUGCGCAUCACAAAGGGUCAUUGGGUGUAAUGGGAAGGAGAGUGGCCCAGAGCCAGGCUGGUCCCUGAUACCAGCCGAGUCACAACCUGGCAGGGACAGUGAGGAUUAGUGGAGUCUUCACGAUGCAAGUGUGCUGAAUUAGUGUGAAGAUAGUAUUGCUGACACUUUUGUAGAAUGGCACAGACAAACAAGAUAGAACUUAGCUGAAAACUUCUUCUUUGGUAACUAGUUUUAUAGGACUGAAAGUGACUCAAGCUGCUGAAGUCAAAAAGCCUUUACCAGUAUCACUGCAGCCAGCACAGCAUGCUUCAGUACUGACCUGCCAGGCAAGCUGUGCUCCUUGGAAUGAAGUUUGUGGGUGUGUCCGACUGCUUUUGGAUUAGAUUUGAGGCCUGUCCAGAGGAAGGAAUUCAGGAGUGCUGCUGUAGAUCCGGUCAAAAGCCCGUGACUUGGGAGGUCAUGGGCCCUAGGGAGGAACCUACUACCAUUGUACUGCUAAAUGGCAUGUUGUCAAACUGUCCUUUAAAUUGUUUACACUGCUAGAUUGAUGCUGCCCUCAACCAUGCCAGAGAAGUUUCACUCCACAAGGGUAAUCUCAUAACUGGUCAAAGUGCUGAGUAUGUGGGACUAUUGACUUAAACUGGACAUCUACAUCAACUCCUGACCUAAGUCAACAGGUCACUCUUCAGUGACAGACUCCUAAGUGGAAGGCCAGGAGAUGAGAUGAAGAAGAUAGAAAAGGUGGGAUCAGGAGGUUUUGCACAACCUGUUUUACACCAAGCAAGUUAAUUAAGAAGUGCCUCAUUGUACACACUGUUUUCAGGAGGAAACUGCACUGAGGCUCAAGGAAGACCUCAGAGGAUGCGCAGGGAAAACAUGGCAGAGCUGGAGAAUUGGAGGAGUGCUGAGAGACUCCGUCUUCUGCACACACAGGGCAGUUGUGCCCAUGAACUCACUGCAGCUGUGGUUAACCCACAUAAAAUGAAGUCUUCAAGAUCUGUCUGCAGCAGCACUAACCGGACUCAGCAGGUUAUUAAUAAAAGAAAGGAGAGGACACAGAAGCAACACAACCCCAUCAAGCUGCUGAGCCAACAACCCCUCUGUGGACCGGAUCCUCUCCUCAGAUAACUUCUGUCUGCAAAUGGGGAAGAAGGAGGAUGGAGAGAAACAAAGCAAGUUCAUCUAUUGCCCCAGAACACUGUGCAAAGAGGCUACUUAAGUGUAAAUGUGGACUCUGGUUGUGGCAUGGCCACUAAUCAGGUGUCUGUCACAGCAACGCACAGAUGACUGAGAAGGUGGUGAGAUAUGCGGAGGAGGAACUCCAGUCAUGGAAAGGGUUAUAACUCGACUGGAUCAAAUCCAGGACCACCCUCCUGGUCUACUUGCUCUCCAAUUAUUCCCCAUGGUGGUGCUGAAGAUUGUACCUGGAGCCUCGAUGUGCUAGACAAAGCACACUCCCCUGAGCUCCAUCCCCAACCCUAAAAUGAUCUUUUUUGAUCAAGUGUUCUGCUUACUAGUCCUGCUGACCAGCACACCUUUACAAAUCUGUAGUUUGUAAAGAUUUAUUCUCUUUAUUUUA